rnacentral:tRNA from 2 species
GGGCCGGUAGCUCAGUCGGUAGAGCACGGGCCUUUUAAGCCUGUGGUCGUGGGUUCGAGUCCCACCCGGCUCACCA